UUUCCCUGCCCAAUUCUGAUCCACCAGAGCAGCCUUCCAAAACAAAUCCCGAGAAGAGCCUCUCAGGGCACCAGGGAUGGCGUGCCUCCCUCUUUCCUUUCCUUCUCUCUCUCUCUAUUCAUCUUCUCUUUCUUCACUGCUUGGAGAGGAGAAAUUACAAUGUGCAAAGCCCGUGGGGCUAGAGGGAGAGAAAUACACAUCUCCCCAAAUGCCAAGCCUGUAUUACUGCUAAGAAUAGCCUUUAUCCUAAUCUGGGAGGAAGCGCAGAAGACCUGGUUCCUGUUUCUCUCUCACUCCCUCCUCCCUCAUUUCUCCCUGUGUCCCUCUCCUCUCCCUCCUAUCUCCUUCACUUCUCCAUCCCCCUCACAUCCGAUGAAGGUUGGUUAUAAAGAGGGCAGUGAGCCUGUCUUUCCUAAAGUGACUGAGACUUGAGUCACAAAGGGUAGAGAGAAGAUGUGGGAGGAGAGAAUAAGAGUCCAGAGGACCAAGACAGUUACUGAAAACUCAAGCUUUGACCACCUGCACAAGGUAUACCAAAGGUGCCCAGGGUCAGAUGGUUUGGCACCACUCCAGUCACCUCCAUCAGGCAAAAUAAGCAAGGUGCGGUCUCACUAUGUUGCCUAGGCUGGACUUAAACUCCUGGGAUCCAGGGAUCUUCCGGCCCCAGUCUCUCCAGUAGCUGGGACUACAGGUAUAUGCUACCACAUCCGGCUAACCUCCCUAUUUUUAACACUCAUCAUAAGCAGUCCUCGUGAUAAUC